rnacentral:rRNA from 1 species
GACGGAGGAUGCAAGUGUUAUCCGGAAUCACCGGGCGUAAAGCGUCUGUAGGUGGUCAAAUAAGUCAACUGUUAAAUCUUGAGGCUCAACCUCAAAAUCGCAGUCGAAACUAUUAGACUAGAGUAUAGUAGGGGUAAAGGGAAUUUCCAGUGGAGCGGUGAAAUGCGUAGAGAUUGGAAAGAACACCGAUGGCGAAGGCACUUUACUGGGCUAUUACUAACACUCAGAGACGAAAGCUAGGGUAGCAAAUGGG